rnacentral:rRNA from 1 species
CGAGGCAGAGCGACCCCAAAAAGACCGUCCCAGUUCGGAUCGCAGGCUGCAACCCGCCUGCGUGAAGUCGGAAUCGCUAGUAAUCGCGGAUCAGCAUGCCGCGGUGAAUACGUUCCCGGGCCUUGUACACACCGCCCGUCACACCAUGAGAGUCGGGAACACCCGAAGUCCGUAGCCUAACAGCAAUGAGGGCGCGGCCGAAGGUGGGUUCGAUAAUUGGGGUGAAGUCGUAACAAGGUACC